rnacentral:rRNA from 1 species
GACGAACGCUGGCGGCGUGCUUAACACAUGCAAGUCGAACGGAAAGGCCCUGCUUGCAGGGUACUCGAGUGGCGAACGGGUGAGUAACACGUGGGUGAUCUGCCCUGCACUUCGGGAUAAGCUUGGGAAACUGGGUCUAAUACCGGAUAGGAACCAUCUUUAGUGUGGUGGUUGGAAAGUUUUUUCGGUGUAGGAUGAGCUCGCGGCCUAUCAGCUUGUUGGUGGGGUAAUGGCCUACCAAGCCGGCGACGGGUAGCCGGCCUGAGAGGGUGUACGGCCACAUUGGGACUGAGAUACGGCCCAGACUCCUACGGGAGGCAGCAGUGGGGAAUAUUGCACAAUGGGGGCAAGCCUGAUGCAGCGACGCCGCGUGGGGGAUGAAGGCCUUCGGGUUGUAAACUCCUUUCGCUAGGGACGAAGCGUUGUUGUGACGGUACCUAGAUAAGAAGCACCGGCUAACUACGUG